GGAAUCUUCCACAAUGGACGAAAGUCUGAUGGAGCAACGCCGCGUGAGUGAAGAAGGGUUUCGGCUCGUAAAACUCUGUUGUUAAAGAAGAACAUAUCUGAGAGUAACUGUUCAGGUAUUGACGGUAUUUAACCAGAAAGCCACGGCUAACUACGUGCCAC
rnacentral:rRNA from 1 species